UCCGGAAUUACUGGGUGUAAAGAGUUCGUAGGCGGCGAAUUAAGUUAGGUAUGAAAGACCGGAGCUCAACUCCGAGUUUGUGCUUAAWACUGGUUUGCUAGAAUUAGGGAGAGGUAAGCGGAAUUCUAAGUGUAGGGGUGCAAUCCGUAGAUACUUAGAGGAACACCAAAAGCGAAGGCAGCUUACUGGAACUAUAUUGACGCUGAGGAACGAAAGCGUGGGGAGCGAAAAGGAUUAGAUACCCUUGUAGUCCACGCCCUAAACGAUGAUAACUUGGUGUUGGGAGUAAUCUCAGUGCCGAAGCUAACGCGAUAAGUUAUCCACCUGAGGAGUACGGUCGCAAGAUUA
rnacentral:rRNA from 1 species